rnacentral:rRNA from 1 species
UCGAGCGAACAUCAGGAGGAAGUUUUCGGAUGGAAUCCUGCAUGACUGAGCGGCGGACGGGUGAGUAACGCGUGGGUAACCUGCCUUAUACAGGGGGAUAACAGUUAGAAAUGACUGCUAAUACCGCAUAAGCGCACAGUACCGCAUGGUAGUGUGUGAAAAACUCCGGUGGUAUAAGAUGGACCCGCGUCUGAUUAGCCAGUUGGCGGGGUAACGGCCCACCAAAGCGACGAUCAGUAGCCGACCUGAGAGGGUGACCGGCCACAUUGGGACUGAGACACGGCCCAAACUCCUACGGGAGGCAGCAGUGGGGAAUAUUGCACAAUGGGGGAAACCCUGAUGCAGCAACGCCGCGUGAGUGAAGAAGUAUUUCGGUAUGUAAAGCUCUAUCAGCAGGGAAGAAGAUGACGGUACCUGAUUAAGAAGCCCCGGCUAACUACGUGCCAGCAGCCGCGGUAAUACGUAGGGGGCAAGCGUUAUCCGGAUUUACUGGGUGUAAAGGGAGCGCAGACGGCAGUGCAAGUCUGGAGUGAAAGCCCGGGGCCCAACCCCGGAACUGCUCUGGAAACUGUGCGGCUAGAGUACUGGAGGGGCAGGCGGAAUUCCUAGUGUAGCGGUGAAAUGCGUAGAUAUUAGGAGGAACACCAGUGGCGAAGGCGGCCUGCUGGACAGUAACUGACGUUGAGGCUCGAAAGCGUGGGGAGCAAACAGGAUUAGAUACCCUGGUAGUCCACGCCGUANACGAUGAAUGCUAGGUGUCGGGGNGCAAAGCUUCCCGGUGCCGCCGCAAACGCAUUAAGCA